GACGAACGCUGGCGGCGUGCUUAACACAUGCAAGUCGAACGGAAAGGCCCCAGCUUGCUGGAGGACUCGAGUGGCGAACGGGUGAGUAACACGUGUGUAAUCUGCCCUGCACUCUGGGAUAAGCCCGGGAAGCUGGGGCUAAUACUGGAUAUGACCGUUCUCCUUAUGGGGUUGGGUGGAAAGUUGUGCGGUGUAGGAUGAGGCCGCGGGCUAUCCGCGUGUUGUUUGGGUGAUGGCCUACCAAGGCGGCGACGGGUAGCCGGCCUGAGUGGGUGAACGGCCACACUGGCACUGAGAUACGGCCCAGACUCAUUCGGGAGGCAGGAGUGGGGAAUAGUGCACAAUGGGAGGAAGCCUGAGGCAGCGACGCCGCGUGAGGGAUGACGGCCUUCGGGUUGUAAACCUCUUUCCGCAGGGACGAAGCGUAAGUGACGGUACCUGCAGAAGAAGCACCGGCUAACUACGUG
rnacentral:rRNA from 1 species